GAUGAACGCUAGCGGCAGGCCUAAUACAUGCAAGUCGAGGGGCAGCGCGGUAGCAAUACUGGCGGCGACCGGCGCACGGGUGCGUAACACGUAUGCAACCUAUCUUCAACUGGAGGAUAGCCCGGGGAAACUCGGAUUAAUACUCCAUAACACAGGGAUCCCGCAUGGGAAUAUUGUUAAAGCUACGGCGGUUGAAGAUGGGCAUGCGUUCGAUUAGCUAGUUGGUGUAGGUAACGGCUCACCAAGGCUACGAUCGAUAGGGGGUCUGAGAGGAUGAUCCCCACACUGGUACUGAGAUACGGACCAGACUCCUACGGGAGGCAGCAGUAGGGAAUAUUGGUCAAUGGGCGCAAGCCUGAACCAGCCAUGCCGCGUGCAGGAAGAAGGCCCUCUGGGUUGUAAACUGCUUUUAUACAAGAGAAAACCCUGGUACGUGUACCAGGUUGAUAGUAUUGUAAGAAUAAGCAUCGGCUAACUUCGUGCCAGCAGCCGCGGUAAU
rnacentral:rRNA from 1 species